rnacentral:rRNA from 1 species
UACGGGGGGGGUAAGCGUUGUUCGGAAUUACUGGGCGUAAAGGGCUCGUAGGCGGCCAACUAAGUCAGACGUGAAAUCCCUCAGCUUAACUGGGGAACUGCGUCUGAUACUGGAUGGCUUGGAUCCGGAAGAGGGAUGCGGAAUUCCAGGUGUAGCGGUGAAAUGCGUAGAUAUCGGAAGGAACAUCAGUGGCGAAAGCGACUUCCUGGACCAGUACCGACGUUCAGGCACGAAAGCGUGGGGAGCAAACAGG